AUGAAGUUGUUCCAUGAAUUCUACAUUGAGACUCUGGACUUGGCCCGUCUGAACUUUGGAGUCAUCACCUUGAUCCCCAAAGUAGUUGGGGCGACGGAUAUCUGACAGUUUAGGCCUAUCACGGUUAUUAAUGUUCUUGAGACGAUUUUUGCGAAGGUCUGUGCCUUGCGUCUUGCACAUAUUGCGAAGUAUAUCGCACACCCCUUCCAAUUUCCGUUUCUGAAGGGUCGACGCAUCCAUGAUGGGAUCUUGGCCCUUCAUGAGAUUGUCCACGAGGUUAGCAGGCGCCGGACGAAGGGCAUCUUUUUGAAGCUGGACAUCUAGAAGGCAUACGACCGCCUUGAUUGGUCCUUCUUGUGCUAG
rnacentral:rRNA from 1 species